AACGUAGGUUCCGAGCGUUAUCCGGAUUUAUUGGGCGUAAAGAGCUUGUAGGCGGUUUGUCGCGUCUGCUGUGAAAUUUCGGGGCUCAACCCCGAACUUGCAGUGGGUACGGGCAGACUAGAGUGUGGUAGGGGAGACUGGAAUUCCUGGUGUAGCGGUGAAAUGCGCAGAUAUCAGGAGGAACACCGAUGGCGAAGGCAGGUCUCUGGGCCAUAACUGACGCUGAGAAGCGAAAGCAUGGGGAGCGAACAGG
rnacentral:rRNA from 1 species